GAUGAACGCUGGCGGCAUGCCUAACACAUGCAAGUCGAACGGAAUCUUAUAUGUUCCUCGUUUCGGAUGUAAAUCCGCGUUGAGGAACAAUAAGAUUUAGUGGCGGACGGGUGAGUAACACGUUGGUACCUACCCUCUAGUGGGGAAUAACUUCGAGAAAUCGAGGCUAAUACCGCAUAAUAUCUACGGAUUAAAGCAUUUAUGCGCUAGAGGAGGGGCCUGCGUCUGAUAGCUAGUUGGUGAGGUAAAAGCUCGCCAAGGCGACGAUCAGUAGCUGGUCUGAGAGGAUGAUCAGCCACACUGGGACUGAGACACGGCCCAGACUCCUACGGGG
rnacentral:rRNA from 1 species